rnacentral:rRNA from 1 species
GAUGAACGCUGGCGGCGUGCCUAAUACAUGCAAGUCGAGCGAACAGACGAGGAGCUUGCUCCUCUGACGUUAGCGGCGGACGGGUGAGUAACACGUGGAUAACCUACCUAUAAGACUGGGAUAACAUCGGGAAACCGGAGCUAAUACCGGAUAAUAUAUUGAACCGCAUGGUUCAAUAGUGAAAGACGGUUUUGCUGUCACUUAUAGACGGAUCCGCGCCGCAUUAGCUAGUUGGUAAGGUAACGGCUUACCAAGGCAACGAUGCGUAGCCGACCUGAGAGGGUGAUCGGCCACACUGGAACUGAGACACGGUCCAGACUCCUACGGGAGGCAGCAGUAGGGAAUCUUCCGCAAUGGGCGAAAGCCUGACGGAGCAACGCCGCGUGAGUGAAGAAGGUCUUCGGGUCGUAAAACUCUGUUAUUGGGGAAGAACAAAUGUGUAAGUAACUAUGCACGUCUUGACGGUACCUAAUCAGAAAGCCACGGCUAACUACGUG